GACAAUAAAUAUGUGGGUAUGUUUCCAUACCUUGUGACAGUGAUUAUAAUGUGCUAAUGAUGUGAAUAUGCAGUGAAUAUGAGUGAAAAAACGAUAAGUAAAUAUGUGAUAAUAAUGUGGAUAUUUUGGCCUUGUGAUCUUAUGAGACCGUUGGAUAUAGUUAGCAUGUCAUAAUAUUGUGAGUACUCGUCUUUGUGAUGUGAUUUUUAAGGCGUUGAGGCUCAG
rnacentral:lncRNA from 1 species